rnacentral:rRNA from 1 species
AUGUCUAACACUAUGGCUCCGAAAAACUCAGCUAUCUUCCUCCUUGGGCUUCUUCUCUCAUGUGUGGCCAUGAUUAGUGCGGCGAGAAUCCUUGAGGAUACCGUUCCGUCCAAGGAGGAGCACCAGCCCGAGGUGCCAUCGCUUCCCAAGGUGGAGCUGCCACCGUUCCGAGAAGUGCACCUGCCACCUAAGCCUGAGCUUCCCAAAGUGGAGCUGCCGCCGGUCCCGGAGGUGCACCUGCCAUCUAAGCCUGAGCUUCCCAAGGUGGAGCUGCCACCGGUCCCUGAGGUGCACCUGCCAUCUAAGCCUGAGCUUCCCAAGGUGGAGCUGCCACCGGUCCCUGAGGUGCACCUGCCACCCAAGCCUGAGCUGCCCAAGGUGGAGCUGCCGAUGUUUCCGGAGGUUCACUUGCCACCCAAGCCGGAGAUGCCCAAGGUGGAGCUCCCGCCGAAGCCCGAGAUGCCAAAGGUGGAGCUUCCACCAAAGCCCGAGAUGCCCACUGUUCCCGUGUUCCACUUCCCAAAGCCAGAGGCCAAGCCAUGA